GUAUUAUUGCUCGGAAGCGGUGCUGUUACAUGGAUCCAUGGCUGCGUCGUUGGUGGAGGCUAUGUUUGAGAGUUCGUUAUUCCUCGAGCUAUCUUGCCACGCCAACAAUGGCUGCUUGUCGUCACAGCUAGCGUAAUAACAUGGUGCGCUACCUUAUUUUGUACAAGAGGAGUCCAGGUUGAGCUAGGUAUAGUAGAACAAGGAACUUUCCUAGGGAGUCGUGGCUAAUCACUCAAUAUAUUCCAACAACAUGAAAUUUACAUACCAUGCAAUACGAAUCCCUGCACAUGCACUGAUGCACACACACAUAUCUAGAGUUUUUCGCCUUUAUUCAGAUAUGAUGAGUGAACAGACAUUAUUAAUUCACUGGUGAAAGUAUUCACCCUCUCUGCUACUGUUAUCAAAUGCUCCAGUGUCAAUAUACAUAUUAGGUGUUCAUUCAGCAACCUCGAGAGAUCUCCGGCAAGUCGCACGUACGAUCGAGCUGGUUACUUGAGCAUCGGUGAAUCACUCAGGAGGACAAGGCCCAAACUUGUGCUGGUUGAAAUUAUGCGUGCAGUUGGAGGGCCCGGCGCCACCCUUCCCUUCGUCCACCGCCGGAAUUGACUCCGCGACGACACGACCGCGGUGGCCAUGCCCGCCACCUGCCUCGCCGUGCAGGCGUGCCGCGGCGACGGCGCCGCCUCGAGCCGAAGAAGAAGCGACCAAAACUAUCAUCGUCAGAAGCGUCAGAGCCACCGCCUUCUUCCUCAUUCCCGCUUGCAUUUCCGCCUCUCUCAGGUGCGAGACGAGGUAUGGAAUAAGGUCGCCUACCGAUCGAUGGCUGUGGACUGAGAAGCUAGGGUUCGGGCGCCAGACCCUCUGAUUUAUAGGCCCGCAGGGUUGCCACUUGCCGUACGUGUGGUGAAUUGCAGGCUUGCAGCGAACUUACGAUCGAGCUCACCGACGAAGGCGCAGCUGCAGUUGGCAGGUUUUUUCCGAGCGAAACCACUCGGUAAAGACCGCACGGUCUGAUGCAUGGG
rnacentral:lncRNA from 1 species